rnacentral:rRNA from 1 species
CUGCUGAUCUGCUCUGGGUAAGUCGGGGCCUAAGGAGAGGUCGAAAGACGUAUCCGAUGGACAACAGGUUUAGAUUCCUGUACCACAUAUAAACAGAACUGUGGGGACGCAUGUGGAAAGCAUAAGCCGGGAAUGGAAAUACCGGUACAAACGGAAGAGGUGUCAGGCUGGCAAAUCCGCCUGGCAAGCCAAAGACGUGAUGUGGAGCGAAAUAAAAGUAGCGAAGUAUGUGAGCCAUGUGCCGAGAAAAGCCGCUAUUGUUUUAUAUGUGCCCGUACCGUAAACCGACACAGGUGGAUGAGGAGAGAAUCCUAAGGCCGACGGAAGAAGCAUUGUUAAGGAACUCGGCAAAAUGACCCCGUAACUUCGGGAGAAGGGGUGCCCACUUCAGGGUGGGCCGCAGAGAAUAGGCUCAAGCAACUGUUUAGCAAAAACACAGGUCUAUGCGAAACCGUAAGGUGAAGUAUAUGGGCUGACGCCUGCCCGGUGCUGGAAGGUUAAGAGGAGAGGUUAGUCGCAAGAUGAAGCUUUGAAUUUAAGCCCCAGUAAACGGCGGCCGUAACGAUAACGGUCCUAAGGUAGCGAAAUUCCUUGUCGGGUAAGUUCCGACCCGCACGAAAGGCGUAAUGAUUUGAGCACUGUCUCGACAAUGCAUCCGGUGAAAUUGAAGUACCAGUGAAGAUGCUGGUUACCCGCGCCAGGACGGAAAGACCCCAUGGAGCUUUACUCCAGUUUGGUACUGGGAUUCGGUACUGCAUGUACAGGAUAGGUGGGAGACUGAGAAAUUGGAACGCCAGUUUCAAUGGAGUCACUGUUGGGAUACCACCCCUGCAGUAUUGGGUUUCUAACCAGCCGCUGUGAUCCAGCGGUGGGACAAUGCCAGGCGGGGAGUUUGACUGGGGCGGUCGCCUCCGAAAGGGUAUCGGAGGCGCUCAAAGGUUCCCUCAGAAUGGUCGGAAACCAUUUUAAGAGUGCAAAGGCAGAAGGGAGCUUGACUGCGACACCGACGGGUGGAGCAGGUACGAAAGUAGGACUUAGUGAUCCGGUGGCAUAAAGUGGGAUUGCCAUCGCUCAACGGAUAAAAGCUACCCUGGGAUAACAGGCUUAUCACUCCCAAGAGUUCACAUCGACGGAGUGGUUUGGCACCUCGAUGUCGGCUCAUCGCAUCCUGGGGCUGUAGCAGGUCCCAAGGGUUGGGCUGUUCGCCCAUUAAAGCGGUACGCGAGCUGGGUUCAGAACGUCGUGAGACAGUUCGGUCCCUAUCCGGCGCGGGCGGAGGAUAUUUGAGAGGAGCUGUCCUUAGUACGAGAGGACCGGGAUGGACGGACCACUGGUGUAUCUGCUGUCGACCAACGGCAUGGCAGAGUAGCCAAGUCCGGAAGGGAUAAACGCUGAAGGCAUCUAAGCGUGAAGCCCCCCUCAAGAUGAGAUAUCCCUCACAUAAGUGAGUAAGAUCCCUUGAAGAGUACAAGGUAGAUAGGGCAGAGGUGGAAGCACGGUAACGUGUGGAGCUGACUGUUACUAAUCGAUCGAGGGCUUGACC